AGAGUUUGAUCCUGGCUCAGGAUGAACGCUAGCGGCAGGCCUAAUACAUGCAAGUCGAACGGGCGGUAGCAAUACCGCUAGUGGCGCACGGGUGCGUAACGCGUAACCAACCUGCCCUUGACUGGGGGAUAGCCCGCCGAAAGGCGGAUUAAUACCGCAUAACCCACUAACUCGGCAUCGGGUAGGUGGUAAAGAUUUAUUCAAGGAUGGGGUUGCGUAGCAUUAGCUAGAUGGCGGGGUAACGGCCCACCAUGGCGACGAUGCUUAGGGGACCUGAGAGGGUGAUCCCCCACACUGGCACUGAGAUACGGGCCAGACUCCUACGGGAGGCAGCAGUAGGGAAUAUUGGGCAAUGGGCGAGAGCCUGACCCAGCCAUGCCGCGUGCCGGAUGAAGGCCUUCUGGGUUGUAAACGGCUUUUCUCAGGGAAGAAAAAGACCCUGCGGGGUACACUGACGGUACCUGAGGAAUAAGCACCGGCUAACUCCGUGCCAGCAGCCGCGGUAAUACGGAGGGUGCAAGCGUUGUCCGGAUUUAUUGGGUUUAAAGGGUGCGUAGGCGGCCCGUUAAGUCCGGGGUGAAAGCCUCUUGCUCAACAAGAGAACUGCCCUGGAUACUGGCGGGCUUGAGUCCAGACGAGGUUGGCGGAAUGGAUGCUGUAGCGGUGAAAUGCAUAGAUAGCAUCCAGAACCCCGAUUGCGUAGGCAGCUGACUAGGCUGGUACUGACGCUGAGGCACGAAAGCGUGGGGAGCGAACAGGAUUAGAUACCCUAGUAGUCC
rnacentral:rRNA from 1 species